AGAGUUUGAUCCUGGCUCAGGAUGAACGCCGGCGGUGUGCCUAAUACAUGCAAGUCGUACGCACUGGCCCAACUGAUUGAUGGUGCUUGCACCUGAUCGAUGAUGGAUCACCAGUGAGUGGCGGACGGGUGAGUAACACGUAGGUAACCUGCCCUGGAGCGGGGGAUAACAUUUGGAAACAGAUGCUAAUACCGCAUAACAACAAAAGCCACAUGGCUUUUGUUUGAAAGAUGGCUUUAGCUAUCACUCUAGGAUGGACCUGCGGUGCAUUAGCUAGUUGGUAAGGUAACGGCUUACCAAGGCGAUGAUGCAUAGCCGAGUUGAGAGACUGAUCGGCCACAAUGGAACUGAGACACGGUCCAUACUCCUACGGGAGGCAGCAGUAGGGAAUCUUCCACAAUGGGCGCAAGCCUGAUGGAGCAACACCGCGUGAGUGAAGAAGGGUUUCGGCUCGUGAAGCUCUGUUGUUGGAGAAGAACGUGCGUGAGAGUAACUGUUAACGCAGUGACGGUAUCCAACCAGAAAGUCACGGCAAAUUACGUGCCAGCAAGCCGCGGUAAUACGUAGGUGGCAAGCGUUAUCCGGAUUUAUUGGGCGUAAAGCGAGCGCAGGCGGUUGCUUAGGUCUGAUGUGAAAGCCUUCGGCUUAACCGAAGAAGUGCAUCGGAAACCGGGCGGCUUGAGUGCAGAAGAGGACAGUGGAACUCCAUGUGUAGCGGUGGAAUGCGUAGAUAUAUGGAAGAACACCAGUGGCGAAGGCGGCUGUCUGGUCUGCAACUGACGCUGAGGCUCGAAAGCAUGGGUAGCGAACAGGAUUAGAUACCCUGGUAGUCCAUGCCGUAAGCGAUGAGUGUUAGGUGUUGGAGGGUUUCCGCCAUUAAGUGCCGGAGUUAACGCAUUAAGCACUCCGCCUGGGGAGUACGACCGCAAGGUUGAAACUCAAAGGAAUUGACGGGGGCCCGCACAAGCGGUGGAGCAUGUGGUUUAAUUCGAAGCUACGCGAAGAACCUUACCAGGUCUUGACAUCUUGCGCUAACCUUAGAGAUAAGGCGUUCCCUUCGGGACGCAAUGACAGGUGGUGCAUGUUCGUCGUCAGCUCGUGUCGUGAGAUGUUGGGUUAAGUCCCGCAACGAGCGCAACCCUUGUUACUAGUUGCCAGCAUUAAGUUGGGCACUCUAGUGAGACUGCCGGUGACAAACCGGAGGAAGGUGGGGACGACGUCAGAUCAUCAUGCCCCUUAUGACCUGGGCUACACACGUGCUACAAUGGACGGUACAACGAGUCGCAAGCUCGCGAGAGUAAGCUAAUCUCUUAAAGCCGUUCUCAGUUCGGACUGUAGGCUGCAACUCGCCUACACGAAGUCGGAAUCGCUAGUAAUCGCGGAUCAGCAUGCCGCGGUGAAUACGUUCCCGGGCCUUGUACACACCGCCCGUCACACCAUGGGAGUUUGUAACGCCCAAAGUCGGUGGCCUAACCUUUAUGGAGGGAGCCGCCUAAGGCGGGACAGAUGACUGGGGUGAAGUCGUAAACAAGGUAGCCGUAG
rnacentral:rRNA from 2 species